rnacentral:misc_RNA from 1 species
CCCCCUUCUUUCAAGAUCUUCUUGAAGACCUUGGAAUCCCCAGUAACAUCAACAACAGGCUUGAAGGACACCAACUCCAGAUCUAUGUUCAGCACUGAAUUUGGUGGGACUGGAUGGAUACCAUCACUAGCUUCCUUUCCCUCCUCUCCAAAUGCAUAUUGAGGUUGGACAAUUAGUUUAACCUUCUCUCCUCUUUUCAUGGUUAUGAUCGCUUNCACAAAAUCAAUAAUCCUCAAUUGGAUCAUGAAUUUUUUAUAGAUUAGAGGGCUAAAUAUG